ACCCCCUGAAAAUUUCACAGGUCUAGAUAGAGUUUUAUUUACACGAACAUCCCCCGGGAGUUUGUUUGCUCGCUGCCACUUCUUUACCUCAACACACAGCCUCUUAUUUAUUACAGGGGAAAAACGAACGACUAUUACUUUGUUCCACUGCUCCUUACUACUACUUACUACUAAUGCUGCCCGCGCGCGCCUUCUCAGUCAUUCAAGCUUCAAACGCCUCCCGUCCCCGGGUCACUUCUUCAGUCCCUCCCGGGCCUCGAGACGACGACGACGAUCAACGCAGCGCAGAGGUUGUCGCAGAACCCGUCACGCCGACCCGGCGGUGCUCUACACGACGGUGCCGUCCUUGAUGGUCGCGUUCUUCUGGAUCACCACGAUCCCGGACCUGAUGUAGUACCCCUCCUCCGGCCUGUCGGCUUCUUGCACUCCCUGUCAGAAAUGGCACAAAGUGGCAUGGUUUCAGAGACGAGUGUUGUUUUCUUCAGAAUUUUGGGGCCAGGUUUGAACUCUGAAGGAGGGCAUCUUACCUCCUUGUUUGAGAUGACCACGUCCCUUCCUAUCCUCGCGUUCAUGUCGAUGAUGCAGUUGCUGCAAUGUAUCGAUGCAAAAAGUGUUAGAGAUACUGUCUCACUUGCGCCGAACGAUACGUGUUGUUUCUGAGGUACAGAUCAGUCUCUCUCACCUGAUCUUUGUGUUCUCCCCGACGCCGAUGGGGACCUUGCCCUCGGACAUCAGCCUCGAGAUCUCAUCCUCGGUCUCGUACGAAUCCGCACCCAUCAUCAUCGCGUUCUGCAAACAAACACCAUUCAGAAGAAUGACAGCGUUCAGACAAUGGAUCAUUUUACAGUUGACAUGCACCACAAGCAUUAAUUCGGUGCGAAAAAGCAUACCUUGAGUUCGCUUCCGGAGUUUAGGCGUGAACGAACGCCGAUGAUGGAGUGCUCGAUUUUGCAUUCACGCAAGAAGCAGCCGUGCGAAAUGAUCGCUUCUUUGAUCUGCACACAGAAGAAUCCAUAUCAGAUGCUUACCACCGAUGCUUGUAUGGAAUAGUCUCAAUGGCAGGUUGGUUCUAACACGUACCCUGCACUUGUCUGACUUUGUUGGUGGCAAGUAUCGAGGCGAGGUGAAGAAGGGAGUUUUGGGAUCAUAAAACUCGAACUUUGGGGGCUGCAAUGAAGAAACUGUGUGAAAAUACUGAAAAAUGUAUUAAGUGAAGAGUCUUAAUGUAGCUUUAUCAUUUAUCAAUUAUCAUAUUAGCACAACUGAAGUCAAAUUUGGAAGCACCCAAAAAUAGAAUGUCACCUGCUCGCAGAGGGCCAUGUUCGCAUCGAAGAAGGAUCUGAUUGUUCCAAUGUCCUCCCAGUAGUCAGUGAAGACAUAAGCCUGACAAAAACAGAGUCAAAUGAACGGCCACUUCGUGCAGCACAUAGGAAAUAGUUUUACAGACUGCAUUUCAUGCAGUGCUACCUCCCCAACAGAAACAACGAAUGAAGCUCACACUGUUAGUUUACCUGUACAUUGUGGUCAUGCAGAGCUCUCGGGAGGAUUUCAGACCCAAAGUCAUGUAGUUCUGCGUAUCUUGACCUGAGAAUGCAGAUAUUAGAAUUCAGACCGACAGGACAACGGCAUCGUCACGAGAGCAGGUUCUUACUUUAGAAGGUUGAGCAGAACAUCUCUUUUGAAGACAUAGACUCCCAUAGAAGCAAUGUAUGGAUAUUUAGCAGGGUCGUCGAUGGCGAAAUUGAGAAAACUGGUGUCCACUUUCUGCAAUGAUCAAUGGAUUAAAUUUCAGAUACUGCAACUUAUUUAAGACAGUUAUAUCUUUAGGCAUAUAUCUGACACAGUGAGGUAAGACCAGUGCUAACCAUCGCUUCCAGAUCGUCACCCUUUGGCUUCUCAGAAAAUUGGACCACACGGCCUGAACUGUCGAACUUCACUAGCCCGUACUCAGAUGCCCGGCUUCCAAAACAAAGAAAAGCAAAUCAGGAUGCAGUGCAACUUCAACAAAAGGAAGAUACAACUCAUAAACAAGGAUCUGGGAUGUACAAGAAUAGUUAAUACCUCUCUCCAACAGGGGCACAUGAUAAAGUAAUGUCAGCAUUGUCAUCCACAUGUUUCUGUAAAGGAUGCAUGAAUAAGCUUGGUCAGCCAGUUCAAAACAGAACAUACACUAGAGCUGGUUAAAGAGAACAUCACAAACCUGCACAAGCUCCAUGUAAUCCAUGCGAUAAAGCUGAUCGCCCGACAAGAUCAAAAUGUGCUCUAUGGAUUUAUUCUUAUAAUAGUCCUGGAGAGGUAGACAGAACACAAGAAGCAUUACUUUAACAGAUCCAGAUUUACAAGUAUGAGGUGCAAGGAGGGCCAUGUGCUCCUAGAUACUCUUCUCACCUCAAGCACCCAGAUAAAUUUUCUGACGGCAUCCGCUGUUCCGCGGAACCAUCCAGCAGCCUCCCCGGGCAUUUGCGUCGCGGCCAAUACCUAUUUGUUGCAAAAAGGUGUAUCAGUCAACGUGUGCUGUAGUCAGCUAAAAGCCCAAUACAUCGAGAUGAAGAUCAUAAAAAAAGUUGAGUACAAACUAAUAAGCUGAGGUCAAUUACCUCAACAGAUCCAUCAGUGAAAUUGAUUCCCCCGCCGAGGUAGGUGCGGUGAAUGUGACGAUUAAGAGAGGCCGAGUUGAACUGCGUCAUGACGAAUAUCUUGUUGAUGCCACUAUUGAAGCAGUUGCUCAUGGGAAUAUCGAUGAGCCUGUAACAUCCUCCAAUAGGAACCUGAGCAAUGCAACAAAGGGAAAGGAACAAGAUUCAGGCUGGCGAUCCGAAGAUGACUGGACGGGCUACAUGCAUGGUCACUGAUAGCCUUGAGGUUGACAUCAUGUCGGUUAAAGUGGGGGGCAUCAUCGGGUCCGGCUACAGAAACCACUGCUUCUAAUAAUGAUUUAAACACAACACAAUGCAGAAAACUUGGUACUGAAUGAGCUGUACUUCAACUGGUCCUAUCCAAAUAAUUUAACAUGUGCAGAUGACAACUGAAAUUUGAAUAAAGCUUUCUCAUUCCUAUCUACCUAAAACUGGGAAAUGUUCUAGAACAUUUCUGUAAGUAACACAGAUUUUUUUAAAUUCAUUUCUGGAACUGAGAUGUACUAGUGUCAAACUAUCAACCUGUAAUAGAAAAGAGCAAGACAGUUAAAAACAUAGAACUGGAUGAUGAAAUGUGUCAUCUUACAGCAGGUGUGGCCCUUGUGCUUGUGAGAGGGAAGAGCUGAGUCCCGGUGCCACCGCCGAGUAUGACGGCCGCGACCUCGUUCGGAUCGGCGUAAUUCCUGCGGAAGGACGUCCGGAGAACCUGCAGGUGUUUUUUUUUGCAUCAAAAAGUCAGAGAUGCUAACAUAACAGAGUGUCUCCAUUGCAAUUCGAUCAUCAUCUGGUUCGGAUGGAAUGAAACUCACAAGGGUGUCUGCUGGGCUGGCGUCGGAGGUGAGCACGCACUGCGCGCCGGUGGCGGCGGGGCCCCUGCCACCGUUGCACAUCCUCCUGGAGGCCCUCUCGUGCCUGAUGCUGCUGCUGUCCCCGACCUUGAGGCGCUCGGAGGCGGAGCCCUCUCUCCUGACGGGGGAGAUGCACGCUUUGCCCUCCAGGGGCAGCACGCUGCUGAACUGCAUCGAUGACAUUCGCAGUCCACCUGCAACUGCAACAAGAUGAGAAGUUGAGAACGAUCAGCAACCAUGGAAUCUUCAGAAUCCAUUAACUGGUAGACUAGAUUGGAGCAUGGAAGGCACAUGACUUGGCCCAAAAUCACUGAUGAAUUUACAGGUCGAGCAAAAAAGAGCACGGGCUUUUUCCCCUCUCUCACGGGUCACGGCCCUCUGUAAAGCUCAGUAUACUUCAGAACAAUGAUCAUGGGAAAAGGGACUAGUGGAAGAGUGGGAAAGGUGACGAGGACUUUGUGACUUUUCAGGGCAGGGUCACGUGAAUCAGGAGGUGAUCCUCUGAUCUUGUGGCUGGCGUUCUUCCUUCGCUGUUUCCUCUUCUGAACUCAAAGGGAAGCAAGGCAGAAUAUCCCCAUGAACUUUGCAAGUGGAAACGGAGACUUGCACGAGGAUUUCACUGCACAUGUGAACUUGUUGUGGACACGAGGAAAGAUGCACAUGUGAGUGGUGCUGUUUUUAAGGCAGCGGCGAUGAUGAAACCGAGCUGGUCAGAGCCUAGAAGCCGCAAUAUUUGAAGAAAAUUUAGCAGGGCGCGCAGGAUCCAAGGAGGACUCGAUUUUCCUGUCGUCGGGAACGCAAAACAAAUGCUCCUGCAAUCACCACUGGGCACAAGUAGAGAUCGAGGAAAGGAAAGGAGGACUCGCCCCAAUCACCGGCGAGCCUCCUCCCUUUUACAGCGACGAAUGAAAUGAGUGAAGUGAUGAUAUUCAGUCGUUGGCAACAGUUAAUUCAGACAGGAGGAAAAUAAAUCAGCAUGGUACUGCUAGUGUUAAUGAGAAACCGAGCGGCCGUGAUCCUGAAAUUAAGUUGGCAACAAGAUCCGUCCUCUUCCCUCCUCGCCAGCGGCCGGUCGACAGUUUUGCCCCAACCACGCCGCCGGCGCCGCGCGCGCGGUGUCACUCACUCACUCACCUCACGGGCGCCCCCACCGGUACGCACCGCCGCCCGACCAAUCGGUCCACCACCGCCCCUCCCGUGCCCCGCCCGCCCGCGUCGGAAUGGGGCGGCAUUAAUGCGCGGCGGAGUCCGGCCGGGAGGAACAGGCAGCGCCCGCCCGCCACCUUUGCGCCACCGGAAUGCAAAUUAAUGAAUCGGCAAGGGGGGAGGGAGGGGGUGAAAUGUGUUGUUACCUGCGGUGCGGCUGCGGCUGCCGGGGACGGGCGGACGGCGGGUAAACGGAUCGACGGGCGACCGGGCAAGCGACGGAUCAAUCAAAUGCAGGGAAGAAGAGGCCGGGGGUGGCCCCGCUGAUGUGGUGGUGAGGGGGAGAGAGAGAGAGAGAGGAGAGACGGUCGAGCCGUCGAGUUCGGAGGCUGUGGUGAUGUGGAGGGCGGGGCAUAUAAAGCGGGCCGAGGCGUUGGCGUCCCACUGCACUGCAAGCGAACGGACGGUGUGGAGCAGCCCAGGCAGCAGAGGGAGCACCGUGCCCGAGCGUAGCGUGAGGCCGGCAUGGCAUGGCCCGGACUGGACUGGCUACGUUACUCUCUUUCCGUCUUGGCGCUAUCCCCAGCCCCACCGUUCCCCAUGCCCGGCCAUGUGCAGGCGCAGGACGGACGGUGCCGCUACCGCCCCCCGCACCGUCCCUUGCCUGGCCCUCGCCGCACGCCUCCGGCCCGCCUUUCCGCCCGCCACGCUACCGCCGCUGCCACCGUCGGGGUGAUGCCUCCUUGGCCGUGCCCGUCGCUGCUUUUGUUGCCUUCAGGUCUCGACGCCCGCCCACAGCUUGCCCUCGCCGUGGAAUACGCUGGCGCGCGACCGGAUCCGACAACUGGCCGCCGCCGUCGGCUUCGCUCCUCCUUUUUGCAGUCAGUUAACGCACGCACGGACGGACGGACGCGCGGCGUGCGUGCUGGCUGGCUGCCCCGGCGCGUUCGACUCACCUGGACGCCCACGGUUUGUUUGUCCGUUUUCCAACCCGUGCGACGGCACCGCUGCCGCCCCGACACAUCACCGGGGGAACCAACGGCGGAAAUCGCUCCCAGAGGCCACCUCCCACCCCUACUGCUAGUACACCUCGUUGUUUUUUUUCUUUUUUGAGCGGUACUAGUACUCUAGCUACUGUACUGUGGGCCUCCGCCUGCCCGACUGACGACGUGCGGCGAAGGUCUCUCGCCACGCCGCGCCUGGACCCACGGACUGGGCCGUGGGCCUCGUACAGUACGUGCGUACGGUGAAGAAGAGCGAUCGAGUGAUCGAGCGAGCGAGCGAGCGAGCUCUCGCGACGCCGGCCACGCGCGGGGCGUCGUGGCGCGCGGCCGGUUGCGGGCGAUCCAAGCGCUUGUCCCCACGCGAGAGAGGGACCUCGUGUUGACGGAUCCAUUCAUUCCGGCCGCGUGCUCGCGUGCCGCGCCGCAGGGUCCCCCCGUGACGCACUGCCGCGUGUGUCGUGCGCCUUGAGCCGUUACGCAAUUUCACUAGCGUAAAAAACGCUCUUAUAUUAUGAAACCGAGAAAAAUAAGGGCAACUCCAACGCGAUCUUAAACGGACGCCCGUUUUGUCUGUUUGGGUGGUAAUGGCAGUGUUCGUCCGAAUUCAUGGAUGCGCCGGGGCGUAUGCCCAACGCGCAGCCGCAUCUUCGGCCGCAUAGGUCCGCGUGCAUGCAAAUCUGAAAACAACAAAAGACGUAGCUAAAUGGCAGCGGUCACAGUUCACGCCAGCGGCCGUACGUGGUCAUGCCGGCCGGCAACAAAGCCAGUGGACUACAUAUGGGCACCCUCCUGUUUCACGCCGGUAACAAUGUCAGCAGCCGGCACACCACCCAACCUUCAAAUUGGACCUGUUUUUUUACACCGGCAACAAAGUCGGCAGCUGGCACUCCAUGCCAGCCUUGAAAACAACAAAAGACGUAGCUAAAUGGCAGCGGUCAUACUUCACGCCAGCGGCCGUGGUCAUGUCAGCCGACAACAAAGCCAGUGGACUACAUAUGGGCACCCUCCAGUUUCACGCCGGUAACAAUGUCAGCGACCGGCACACUCGACAACCUUCAAAUUGGACCUGUUUUUUUUACGCCGGCAACAAAGUCAGCUGCCGGGAAACAAACCAGCCUUCAAAAUGAACAAGUUUUUGACGCCGGCAACAAAGCCGGCAGCCGGCACUCCAUGCCAGCCUUGAAAAUGAAUGGCCAUAGUCCACGGCCGAGGUCUCACCUAGUUCAGGCCGUCGCGGGCGAACAUCUCCUUCUGCCGGUUCACAAACCAAGCCUUCCUCUCCGAUGACAUGUUGCUCUUGUCGACGCUCAUGAUCGCGAGUGGCACCUCUUUUGCUCUGGUGUCGGCAUUGGUCGGCUCGAUCUCGAGCUUCUUGAGUUGAGCGGCCUCCUCCAUGUCAAGCUUCCUCCUCUUCGCGGCCUCCUCCAUGUCAAGCUUCUUCGUUUCGAGCUCUAGGUAUAUCUUCAUUUGCUCCUCCUUCCCUUUGCUCCUCUUCUCCUCCUUCACUUCCUUUUGACUCGUCAUGUUCUCUAAAGUUCCUUGCAAGGCCAUGGAAGACGCAUCACGCUUCUCGUCGGCCUUCAAGCUUGUCUUGCCCCUCGGCCUCUUGAGCAAGUCUCCCUCAUCAGCCACGUCCGCCUUCCCUCCUUUCUUCUUACGAGCGGUAUAUUGGUCUUUGAACUUGGGGCAAUCUUUGAUGAGCGACCAACAAUACGUGAGAGUAAAUGGCUUGUUCUUGUGACGGGCCUUGAAGGCUUCCAAAGAUUGAAAUGCCUACACAAUCAAAGAUGCGGCUGCAAUUGUAACAUGGAAAGACACAAGAUGCAUGAAACAUGGCAUGCCAACAUGAAAGGGAACAAGAUGGAAAAAACAAGAGGUUCAUACCAAGUCACCAAGGCCUAGGCCACUCACGGGACGGGCUUCGACGCUCUCAAGCACGACACAAUACUUGUUGCACUCUUGUUGAAUGAACCCCCAUCUCUUUUGGAUUGAGUUGAUGCCGCGAGUGCUUGCAAAUUGGUAGGGGGCAAACUUCCUUCGUCCAUGAAAAGUUUUGUGAUCUCUCAUCCAAAAGAUGGAUCCUUUUUGCUCGACACCUUUCACCGGAUCUUGGCCUAUCUCCUGUUGGGGAUCGUAGCAGAAAUUAAAAUUUUUCUACGCAUCACCAAGAUCAAUCUAUGGAGUCAUCUAGCAACGAGAGAGAGGAGUGCAUCUACAUACCCUUGUAGAUCGCGAGCGGAAGCGUUCAAGAGAACGGGGUUGAUGGAGUCGUACUCGUCGUGAUCCAAAUCACCGAUGACCGAGCGCCGAACGGACGGCACCUCCGCGUUCAACACACGUACGGAGCAGCGACGUCUCCUCCUUCUUGAUCCAGCAAGGGGAAAGGAGAGGUUGAUGGAGAUCCAGCAGCACGACGGCGUGGUGGUGGAAGUAGCGGGAUCCCGGCAGGGCUUCGCCAAGCGCAAGCGGGAGGGAGAGGUGUCACGGCAGGGAGAGGGAGGCGCCAGGGGCUGUGGUACUGCUGCCCUCCCUCCCCCCUCUCUAUAUAUAGGGGCCCUGGGGGGCGCCGGCCCUGAGAGAUGCAAUCUCCAGGGGGCGGCGGCCAAGGGGGGUGGCUUGCCCCUCCCCCCAAGCCAAGUGGGGCGCCCCCCCACCCCCAAGGUUUCCAACCCUAGGCGCACGGGAGGCCCAAGGGGGGCGCACCAGCCCACCAGUGGCUGGUUCCCCUCCCCACUUCAGCCCAUGGGGCCCUCCGGGAUAGGUGACCCCACCCGGUGGACCCCCGGGACCCUUCCGGUGGUCCCGGUACAAUACCGGUAACCCCCGAAACUUUCCCGGUGGCCGAAACUGGACUUCCUAUAUAUAAUUCUUCACCUCCGGACCAUUCCGGAACUCCUCGUGACGUCCGGGAUCUCAUCCGGGACUCCGAACAACUUUCGGGUUACCGCAUACUAAUAUCUCUACAACCCUAGCGUCACCGAACCUUAAGUGUGUAGACCCUACGGGUUCGGGAGACAUGCAGACAUGACCGAGAUGACUCUCCGAUCAAUAACCAACAGCGGGAUCUGGAUACCCAUGUUGGCUCCCACAUGUUCCACGAUGAUCUCAUCGGAUGAACCACGAUGUCGAGGAUUCAAUCAAUCCCGUAUACAAUUCCCUUUGUCAAUCGGUACGUUACUUGGCCGAGAUUCGAUCGUCGGUAUCCCAAUACCUCGUUCAAUCUCAUUACCGGCAAGUCACUUUACUCAUACCAUAAUGCAUGAUCCCGUGACCAGACACUUGGUCACACUGAGCUCAUUAUGAUGAUGCAUUACCGAGUGGGCCCAGAGAUACCUCUCCGUCAUACGGAGUGACAAAUCCCAGUCUCGAUCCGUGUCAACCCAACAGACACUUUCAGAGAUACCUGUAGUGUACCUUUAUAGUCACCCAGUUACGUUGUGACGUUUGGUACACCCAAAGUACUCCUACGGCAUCCGGGAGUUACACGAUCCCAUGGUCUAAGGAAAAGAUACUUGACAUUGGAAAAGCUCUAGCAAACGAACUACACGAUCUUUGCGCUAUGCUUAGGAUUGGGUCUUGUCCAUCACAUCAUUCUCCUAAUGAUGUGAUCCCGUUAUCAAUGACAUCCAAUGUCCAUAGUCAGGAAACCAUGACUAUGUGUUGAUCAACGAGCUAGUCAACUAGAGGCUUACUAGAGACACGUUGUGGUCUAUGUAUUCACACAUGUAUUACGAUUUCCGGAUAACACAAUUAUAGCAUGAACAAUAGACAAUUAUCAUGAACAAGGAAAUAUAAUAAUAACCAUUUUAUUAUUGCCUCUAGGGCAUAUUUCCAAUAGUCUCCCACUUGCACUAGAGUCAAUAAUCUAGUUACAUUGUGAUGAAUCGAACACCCAUAGAGUUCUGGUGUUGAUCAUGUUUUGCUCUAGGGAGAGGUUUAGUCAACAGAUCUGCUACAUUCAGGUUCGUAUGUACUUUACAAAUAUCUAUGUCUCCAUUUUGAACAUUUUCACCAAUGGAGUUGAAGCGGCGCUUGAUAUGACUGGUCUUCCUGUGAAACCUGGGCUCCUUGGCAAGGGCAAUAGCUCCAGUGUUGUCACAGAAGAGAGUCAUCGGGCCCGACGCAUUGGGAAUCACCCCUAGGUCGAUAAUGAACUCCUUUAUCCAGAUUGCUUCCUGUGCUGCCUCUGAGGCCGCCAUGUACUCCGCUUCACAUGUAGAUCCCGCCACGACGCUUUGCUUGCAACUGCACCAGCUUACUGCCCCUCCAUUCAAAAUAUACACGUAUCCGGUUUGUGACUUAGAGUCAUCCAGAUCUGUGUCGAAGCUAGCGUCGACGUAACCCUUUACGACGAGCUCUUCGUCACCUCCAUAUACGAGAAACAUAUCCUUAGUCCUUUAUAGGUACUUCAGGAUAUUCUUGACCGCUGUCCAGUGUUCCAUGCCGGGAUUACUUUGGUACCUUCCUACCAAACUUACGGCAAGGUUUACAUCAGGUCUGGUACACAACAUGGCAUACAUAACAGACCCUAUGGCCGAGGCAUAGGGGAUGACACUCAUCUUUUCUCUAUCUUCUGCCGUGGUCGGGCAUUGAGCCGUGCUCAAUUGCACACCUUGCAAUACAGGCAAGAACCCCUUCUUGGACUGAUCCAUAUUGAACUUCUUCAAUAUCUUGUCAAGGUACGUACUCUGUGAAAGACCAAUGAGGCGUUUUGAUCUAUCUCUAUAGAUCUUGAUGCCUAAUAUAUAAGCAGCUUCUCCAAGGUCCUUCAUUGAAAAACACUUAUUCAAAUAGGCCUUUAUACUUUCCAAGAAUUCUAUAUCAUUUCCCAUCAAUAGUAUGUCAUCCACAUAUAAUAUGAGAAAUGCUACAGAGCUCCCACUCACUUUCUUGUAAACACAGGCUUCUCCAUAAGUCUGUGUAAACCCAAACGCUUUGAUCAUCUCAUCAAAGCGAAUGUUCCAACUCCGAGAUGCUUGCACCAGCCCAUAGAUUGAGCGCUGGAGCUUGCAUACUUUGUCAGCAUUCUUAGGAUCGACAAAACCUUCCGGCUGCAUCAUAUACAAUUCUUCCUUAAGGAAUGCCGUUUUGACGUCCAUUUGCCAUAUCUCAUAAUCAUGGAAUGCGGCAAUUGCUAACAUGAUUCGAACGGACUUCAGCUUCGCUACGGGUGAGAAAGUCUCAUCGUAGUCAACCCCUUGAACUUGUCGAUAACCCUUAGCGACAAGUCAAGCCUUAUAGAUGGUCACAUUACCAUCCGCGUCUGUCUUCUUCUUAAAGAUCCAUUUAUUUUCUAUGGCUCGCCGGUUAUCGGGCAAGUCAGUCAAAGUCCAUACUUCGUUUUCAUACAUGGAUCCUAUCUCGGAUUUCAUGGCUUCUAGCCAUUUGUCGGAAUCUGGGCCCGCCAUUGCUUCUUCAUAGUUCGAAGGUUCACCGUUGUCUAACAACAUGAUUUCCAGGACAGGGUUGCCGUACCACUCUGGUGCGGAACGUGUCCUUGUGGACCUACGAAGUUCAGCAGUAACUUGUUCCGAAGCUUCACGAUCAUCAUCAUUAACUUCCUCCCCAGUCGGUGUAGGCACCACAGGAACAUUUUCCCGCGCUGCGCUACUUUCCGGUUCGGAAGGGGUGACUAUCACCUCAUCAAGUUCCACUUUCCUCCCACUCAAUUCUUUUGAGAGAAACUCCUUCUCCAGAAAGGACCCGUUCUGGGCAACGAAGAUCUUGCCUUCGGAUCCGAGGUAGAAGGUAUACCCAAUGGUUUCCUUAGGGUAUCCUAUGAAGACACAUUUUUCCGACUUGGGUUCGAGCUUUUCAGGUUGAUGUUUCUUGACAUAAGCAUCGCAUCCCCAAACUUUUAGAAACGACAGCUUAGGUUUCUUCCCAAACCAUAAUUCAUACGGUGUCAUCUCAACGGAUUUCGACAGAGCCCUAUUUAAAGUGAAUGCGGCAGUCUCUAAAGCAUAGCCCCAAAAUGAGAGCGGUAGAUCGGUAAGAGACAUCAUAGAUCACACCAUAUCCAAUAGAGUGCGAUUACGACGUUCGGACACACCAUUUCGUUGAGGUGUUCCAGGCGGCGUGAGUUGUGAAACUAUUCCACAUUUCCUUAAGUGUGUGCCAAAUUCGUGACUGAAAUAUUCCCCUCCACGAUCUGAUCGUAAGAACUUUAUUUUCCUGUCAUGUUGAUUCUCAACCUCACUCUGAAAUUCCUUGAACUUUUCAAAGGUCUCAGACUUGUGUUUCAUUAGGUAGACAUACCCAUAUCUACUCAAGUCAUCAGUGAGAGUGAGAACAUAACGAUAGCCACCGCGAGCCUCAACACUCAUUGGACCGCACACAUCAGUAUGUAUGAUUUCCAAUAAGUUGGUUGCUCGCUCCAUUGUUCCGGAGAACGGAGUCAUGGUCAUCUUACCCAUGAGGCAUGGUUCGCACGUGUCAAAUGACUCGUAAUCAAGAGACUCCAAAAGUCCAUCUGCAUGGAGCUUCUUCAUGCGCUUGACACCAAUGUGACCAAGGCGGCAGUGCCACAAGUAUGUGGGACUAUCGUUAUCAACUUUACAUCUUUUGGUAUUCACACUAUGAAUAUGUGUAACAUCACGUUCGAGAUUCAUUAAGAAUAAACCAUUGACCAGCGGGGCAUGACCAUAAAACAUAUCUCUCAUAUAAAUAGAACAACCAUUAUUCUCGGAUUUAAAUGAGUAGCCAUCUCGCAUUAAACGAGAUCCUGAUACAAUGUUCAUGCUCAAAGCUGGCACUAAACAACAAUUAUUGAGGUUUAAAACUAAUCCCGUAGGUAAAUGCAGAGGUAGCGUGCCGACGGCGAUCACAUUGACCUUGGAACCAUUCCCGACGCGCAUCAUCACCUCGUCCUUCGCCAGUCUCCGUUUAUUCCGCAGCUCCUGUUUUGAGUUACAAAUAUGAGCAACCGCACCGGUAUCAAAUACCCAGGAGCUACUACGAGUACUGGUAAGGUACACGUCAAUUACAUGUAGAUCACAUAUACCUUUGGUGUUGCCAGCCUUCUUGUCCGCUAAGUAUUUGGGGCAGUUCCGCUUCCAGUGACCACUUCCCUUGCAAUAAAAGCACUCAGUCUCAGGCUUGGGUCCAUUCCUUGGCUUCUUCCCGGCAACUGGCUUACCGGGCGCGGCAACUCCCUUGCCGUCCUUCUUGAAGUUCUUCUUACCCUUGCCUUUCUUGAACUUAGUGGUUUUAUUCACCAUCAACACUUGAUGUUCCUUUCUGAUCUCCACCUCCGCUGAUUUCAGCAUUGAAUAUACCUCAGGAAUGGUCUUCCAUCCCCUGCAUAUUGAAGUUCAUCACAAAGCUCUUGUAGCUCGGUGGAAGCGACUGAAGGAUUCUGUCAAUGACCGCGUCAUCCGGGAGAUUAACUCCCAGCUGAGUCAAGCGGUUGUGUAACCCAGACAUUCUGAGUAUGUGCUCACUGACAGAACUGUUUUCCUCCAUCUUACAACUGAAGAACUUGUCGGAGACUUCAUAUCUCUCGACCCGGGCAUGAGCUUGGAAAACCAUUUUCAGCUCUUCGAACAUCUCAUAUGCUCUGUGUUGCUCAAAACGCUUUUGGAGCCACGGCUCUAAGCUGUAAAGCAUGCCGCACUGAACGAGGGAGUAAUCAUCAGCACGUGACUGCCAAGCGUUCAUAACGUCUUGGUUCUCUGGGAUGGGUGCGUCACCUAGUGGUGCUUCUAGGACAUAAUCUUUCUUGGCAGCUAUGAGGAUGAUCCUCAGGUUCCGGACCCAGUCCGUAUAGUUGCUGCCAUCAUCUUUCAGCUUGGUUUUCUCUAGGAACGCGUUGAAGUUGAGGGCAACGUGGGCCAUUUGAUCUACAAGACAUAUUGUAAAGAUUUUAGACUAAGUUCAUGAUAAUUAAGUUCAUCUAAUCAAAUUAUUCAAUGAACUCCCACUCAGAUAGACAUCCCUCCAGUCAUCUAAGUGAAACAUGAUCCGAGUCAACUAGGCCGUGUCCGAUCAUCACGUGAGACGGACUAGUCAACAUCGGUGAACAUCUUCAUGUUGAUCGUAUCUUCUAUACGACUCAUGCUCGACCUUUCGGUCUUCCGUGUUCCGAGGCCAUGUCUGUACAUGCUAGGCUCGUCAAGUCAACCUAAGUGUAUUGCGUGUGUUCCGAGGCCAUGUCUGUACAUGCUAGGCUCGUCAACACCCGUUGUAUGCGAACGUUAGAAUCUAUCACACCCGAUCAUCACGUGGUGCUUCGAAACAACGAACCUUCGCAACGGUGCACAGUUAGGGAGAACACUUUCUUGAAAUUAUUACGAGGGAUCAUCUUAUUUACUACCGUCGUACUAAGCAAAUAAGAAGCAAAACAUGAUAAACAUCACAUGCAAUCAAAUAGUGACAUGAUAUGGCCAAUAUCAUUUUGCUCCUUUUGGUCUCCAUCUUCGGGGCGCCAUGAUCAUCUUCGUCACCGGCAUGACACCAUGAUCUCCAUCAUCAUGAUCUCCAUCAUCGUGUCUUCAUGAAGUUGUCACGCCAACGAUUACUUCUACUUCUAUGGCUAACGCGUUUAGCAAUAAAGUAAAGUAAUUUACAUGGCGUUAUUCAAUGACACGCAGGUCAUACAAAAAAUAAAGACAACUCCUAUGGCUCCUGCCGGUUGUCAUACUCAUCGACAUGCAAGUCGUGAUUCCUAUUACAAGAACAUGAUCAAUCUCAUAUAUCACAUAUAUUUCAUUCAUCACAUCCUUUUUGGCCAUAUCACAUCACAAGGCAUAUGCUGCAAAAACAAGUUAGACGUCCUCUAGUUGUUGUUGCAAGUUUUUACGUGGCUGCUAUAGGUUUCUUAGCAAGAACGUUUCUUACCUAUGCCAAAACCACAACAUGAUAUGCCAAUUUCUAUUUACCCUUCAUAAGGACCCUUUUCGUCGAAUCCGUUCCGACUAAAGUGGGAGAGACAGACACCCGCUAGCCACCUUAUGCAACUAGUGCAUGGCAGUCGGUGGAACCUGUCUCACGUAAGCGUACGUGUAAGGUCGGUCCGGGCCGCUUCAUCCCACGAUGCUGCCGAAACAAGAUAAGACUAGUAGUGGCAAGAAAAUUGACAACAUCUACGCCCACAACUGCUUUGUGUUCUACUCGUGCAUAGAAGCUACGCAUAGACCUAGCUCAUGAUACCACUGUUGGGGAUCGUAGCAGAAAUUAAAAUUUUUCUACGCAUCACCAAGAUCAAUCUAUGGAGUCAUCUAGCAACGAGAGAGAGGAGUGCAUCUACAUACCCUUGUAGAUCGCGAGCGGAAGCGUUCAAGAGAACGGGGUUGAUGGAGUCGUACUCGUCGUGAUCCAAAUCACCGAUGACCGAGCGCCGAACGGACGGCACCUCCGCGUUCAACACACGUACGGAGCAGCGACGUCUCCUCCUUCUUGAUCCAGCAAGGGGAAAGGAGAGGUUGAUGGAGAUCCAGCAGCACGACGGCGUGGUGGUGGAAGUAGCGGGAUCCCGGCAGGGCUUCGCCAAGCGCAAGCGGGAGGGAGAGGUGUCACGGGAGGGAGAGGGAGGCGCCAGGGGCUGUGGUACUGCUGCCCUCCCUCCCCCCUCUCUAUAUAUAGGGGCCCUGGGGGGGCGCCGGCCCUGGGAGAUGCAAUCUCCAGGGGGGGCGGCGGCCAAGGGGGGUGGCUUGCCCCCCCAAGCCAAGUGGGGCGCCCCCCACCCCCAGGGUUUCCAACCCUAGGCGCACGGGAGGCCCAAGGGGGGCGCACCAGCCCACCAGUGGUUGGUUCCCCUCCCCACUUCAGCCCAUGGGGCCCUCCGGGAUAGGUGGCCCCACCCGGUGGACCCCCGGGACCCUUCCGGUGGUCCCGGUACAAUACCGGUAACCCUCGAAACUUUCCCGGUGGCCGAAACUGGACUUCCUAUAUAUAAUUCUUCACCUUCGGACCAUUCCGAAACUCCUCGUGACGUCCGGGAUCUCAUCCGGGACUCCGAACAACUUUCGGGUUACCGCAUACUAAUAUCUCUACAACCCUAGCGUCACUGAACCUUAAGUGUGUAGACCCUACGGGUUCGGGAGACAUGCAGACAUGACCGAGACGACUCUCCGAUCAAUAACCAACAGCGGGAUCUGGAUACCCAUGUUGGCUCCCACAUGUUCCACGAUGAUCUCAUCGGAUGAACCACGAUGUCGAGGAUUCAAUCAAUCCCGUAUACAAUUCCCUUUGUCAAUCGGUACGUUACUUGCCCGAGAUUCGAUCGUCGGUAUCCCAAUACCUCGUUCAAUCUCGUUACCGGCAAGUCACUUUACUCGUAGCGUAACGCAUGAUCCCGUGACCAGAAACUUGGUCACACUGAGCUCAGUAUGAUGAUGCAUUACCGAGUGGGCCCAGAGAUACCUCUCCGUCAUACGGAGUGACAAAUCCCAGUCUCGAUCCGUGUCAACCCAACAGACACUUUCAGAGAUACCUGUAGUGUACCUUUAUAGUCACCCAGUUACGUUGUGACGUUUGGUACACCCAAAGUACUCCUACGGCAUCCGGGAGUUACACGAUCUCAUGGUCUAAGGAAAAGAUACUUGUCAUUGGAAAAGCUCUAGCAAACGAACUACACGAUCUUUGCGCUAUGCUUAGGAUUGGGUCUUGUCCAUCACAUCGUUCUCCUAAUGAUCUGAUCCCGUUAUCAAUGACAUCCAAUGUCCAUAGUCAGGAAACCAUGACUAUCUGUUGAUCAACGAGCUAGUCAACUAGAGGCUUACUAGGGACACGUUGUGGUCUAUGUAUUCACACAUGUAUUACGAUUUCCGGAUAACACAAUUAUAGCAUGAACAAUAGACAAUUAUCAUGAACAAGGAAAUAUAAUAAUAACCAUUUUAUUAUUGCCUCUAGGGCAUAUUUCCAACAUCUCCAUCCAACUCCCGCAAAUCAAAGUGUCCUCCUCCUAGAUGUAUGAUCCCGUGCGAAUGAUUUGCCUCCUCUUUUGUGCCUUGGUCCUUUGGAUUAGCUCAUCAAUGAACACCAAUGGCUCGUCCACAAUGUCAACCUCUUCUUCCUCAUCUUCAAAAUACAGGUCAUCAUCUUCAUGCCAGGAGUUGCCAUGGUCGUCCUCAUCUUCAUCAUAUUGGCUGACGAAUUGAGUGUCACCAUAUUGGUCGCGACCGUCCUGGCUUUGGGUCGCGUCGGGAUCGAAAGUUUGGCCUUGUCCGUCGAUGUGGAAGGCCUCGCCAUGAACGUCGCGUAGUCAGGGUCGUCGGCCAUCGACGUUGGUAGUGGCAUUUCCUCGAACAACUUGCGGGCACCGGCCAUGUUGGCCAAAGGAAUCGUCCGGGGGCUGCUUCCUUUGUGUUCUGUCAGACGGCUGACCAACGCCAUUGUACCCCGGCGUCAGGUUGAGGUCGAUGACGUCCGCGGGUGUGGCCGGAGCGACCAUGCUUCAGUUCGACGACGUAGAGAACCGUGUCUACCCAUGGCCAUGCAGCGACGGCGCACGAUACCCUAGCGUCUCGGGUGUGACGGACGAGCUCGAGGACCGGUGUUGUGGAGGAUGAACCACCGACGAGCCUGUGCUAGCCGCGAACAUGGCAGCGAGCGACCGAGAGAAUGGCCGGCGGGGGUCAGCACAACCCUAACAUAAGGAGGGUGUGCGCCUUGGUGACGAUGGACUCCUUUUCGUCGAUGUUGGCCUGGUGCUACGCGGCACGCCGCGCAACCGCCUCGGCGGCGCAGUCGGCAGCGGCCUUCUUCUCCGCCACCUUUUUCCGUCGGAAGGGUUUUGGACGAAAUGGAGGGAAAGUGGGCGGAUGUGCCCCCGACGGGCGGGCCAGGGGAGGACAAGGGCGUGCGUCCCGCCCGCCCGCGCGCUGCCAUUUUGACGCAAGCGCGGCUGAAAUUUGGUAUGUUUGCUCCCGCGUGCUGGGUCGCCUGUUCUGUCUAUUUACCCCCAAACGGACGCGGCCGGACGAUUUAGGGUUGUGUGUUGGAGUUGCCCUAAUAUCGUUCCGUGCUAACAUCCCAACUCAACUCUUAACAGUAGAUCUCACAAGUUUUCUAAAAAAGUACUUCUCACAUGUAAAAGUUGUUUCGUCCCACUAAAAUGAACACCAUCAUAUGUCCGCGGACAUGUCAAUGUCUCCGCGGAUAUGUGAUGGCGCAGUGAAGCUCAUUCAACCAAGUCAUCAAAAAACUGCGGUCAUCGACUUUUUCAUUGUUUUGGUCCGGUAACAAUGUCAGCGACCGGCACACCAGCCAACCUUCAAAUUGGUCCUUUUUUUUACACUAGUAACAAAGCCGGAAGCCAGCACUCUAUGCCAGCGUUGCAAAUGAACGGCCGAAGUCUCACCUAGUUCAGGCCGUCGCGGGCGAACAUCUCCUUCUGCCGGUUCACGAACCAAGCCUUCCUCCGGUGACAUGUUGUUUCUUGUCGACACUCAUGAUCGCGAGUGGCACCUCUUUUGCUUUGGUGUCGGCAUUGGAGGGCUCGAUACCGAGUUUCUUGAGUUGAGCGGCCUCCUCGAUGUCAAGUUUCCUCCUCUUCGCGGCCUCCUCCAUGUCAAGCUUCUUCGUUUGGAGCUCUAGGUAUAUCUUCAUUUGCUCAUCCUUCCCUUUGCUCCUCCUCUCCUCCCUCACUUCCUUUUGACUCAUCAUGUUCUCCAAAGUUCCUUGCAAGGACAUGGAAGACGCAUCACGCUUCUCGUCGGCCUUUGAGCUUGUCUUGCUCCUCGGCCUCUUGAGCAAGUCUCCCUCAUCAGCCACGUCCGCCUUCCCUCCUUUCUUCUUACGAGCGGCAUAUUGGUCUUUGAACUUGGGGCAAUCUUUGAUGAGCGACCAACAAUGUGUGAGAGUAAAUGGUUUGUUCUUGUGACGAGCCUUGAAGGCUUCCAAAGAUUGAAGUGCCUACCCAAUCAAAGAUGCGGCUGCAAUUGUAAUAUGGAAAGACACAAGAUGCAUGAACACAUGGCAUGCCAACAUGAAAGGACACAAGAUGAAAAAAACGAGAGGUUCAUACCAAGUCACCAAGGCCUAGGCCACUCACGGGACGGGCUUCGACGCUCUGAAGUGCGACACAAUACUUGUUGCACUCUGAUUGAAUGAACCCCCAUCCCUUUUGGAUUGAAUUGAUGCCGUGAGUGCUCGCAAAUUGGUAGGGGGCAAACUUCCUUCGCUCAUGAAAGGUUUUGUGAACUCUCGUCCAAAAGACGGAUCCUUUUUGCUCGGCACCUUUCACCGGAUCUUGGCAUAUCUCCAUCCAACUCCCACAAAUCAAAGUGUCCUCCUCUUGGAUAUAUGAUCCCGUCCGAAUGAUUUGCCUCCUCUUUUGUGCCUCGUUCCUUUGGGUGAGCUCAUCGAUGAACACCAAUGCAUGGCUCGUCCACAAUGUCGACCUCUUCUUCCUCAUCUUCACAAUACAAUUCAUCGUCUUCAUGCCAUGAGUUGCCAUGGUCGUCCUCAUCUUCAUCAUAUUGGCCGGCGAAUUGAGUGUCACCAUAUUGGUCGCGGUCGUCCUGGCUUUGGGUCGCGUCGAGAUCUAAAGUUUGGCCUUGGUCGUCGACGUGGAAGGCCUCGCCACGGCUCUCGAAGAUGACGUUCUCCAUGAAUGCCGCGUAGUCAGGGUCGUCGGCCAUUGGCGUCGGCAGUGGCAUUUCCUCGAACAGCUUGUGGGUGCCAGCCAUGUUGGCCGAAGGAAUCGUCUCGGGUAGCUUCCUUUGGGUCCCGUCGGACGGCUGGCCAACACCACUAUACCUCGGUGUCAGGUUGAGGUCGAUGACACCCGCGGGCGUGGCCGGAGCGACCACGCUUCAGUCCAGAACGUAGAGAACCAUAUCUGCCCACGGCCAUGCAGCGGUGGCGCACGAUACCCUGGCAUCUCGGGUGUGACGGACGAGCCCGGGGACCGGUGCUGUGGAGGACGAACCGCCAACGAGCAUGUGCUAGCCGCGACCAUGGCAACGACCGAGAAAAUGGCCGGCGGGGGUCGGCACAACCCUAACAUGAGGAGGGUGUGCGCCUUGGCGAUGAUGGACUCCUUUUCGUCGACGUUGGCCUGGUGCUACAUGGCACGCUGCGCGGCCGCCUCGGCGGCAUAGUCGACAGUGGCCUUCUUCUCCGCCACCUUUGUCUGUUGGUUCCUUCUCCUGGCCGAUUCGAUGACGAGCUUGGCAAGCUCCUCCGGCAUGACCUCCGACCGCGGCUUCUUUGCAGCCUUCUUCUUCGCUACAGGGCGUGCGGCCAAGGCCGGUCGUCGCGAUUCGUCGGGCCACCGGCCAUGGAGGAGGGAGGGGAGGGGCGCGUGGGAGGGUUUUGGGCGAAUUGGAGGGAAAGUGGGCGGGUGUGCCCCCGGCGGGCGGGCCAGGGGAGGACAAAGGCAUGCGUCCUGAUACGUCUCCAACGUAUCUAUAAUUUUUGAUUGUUCCAUGCUAUAUUAUAUUCUGUUUUGGACAUUAAUGGGCUUUAUUAUACACUUUUAUAUUAUUUUUGUGACUAACCUAUUAACCGGAGGCCCAGCCCAGAAUUGCUGCUUUUUGCCUAUUUCAGAGUUUCGCAGAAAAAGAAUAUCAAACGGAGUCCAAACGGAAUGAAACCUUCGGGAACGUGAUUUUCGGAAUGAACGUGAUCCAGAGGACUUGGACCCUACGUCAAGACAUCAACCAGGAGGGCACGAGGUAGGGGGCGCGCCCUCCACCCUCGUGGGCCCCACAUUGCUCCUCCGACGUACUUCUUCCUCCUAUAUAUACCUACGUACCCCCAAACUACCAGACACGGAGCCAAAAACCUAAUUCCACCGCUGCAACCUUCUGUACCCGUGAGAUCCCAUCUUGGGGCCUUUUCCGGAGCUCCGCCGGAGGGGGCAUCGAUCACGGAGGGCUUCUACAUCAACACCAUAGCCUCUCUGAUGAUGUGUGAGUAGUUUACCUCAGACCUUCGGGUCCAUAGUUAUUAGCUAGAUGGCUUCUUCUCUCUUUUUGGAUCUCAAUACAAUGUUCUCCCCCUCUCUUGUGGAGAUCUAUUCGAUGUAAUCUUCUUUUGCGGUGUGUUUGUUGAGACCGAUGAAUUGUGGGUUUAUGAUCAAGUUUAUCUAUGAACAAUAUUUGAAUCUCCUCUGAAUUCUUUUAUGUAUCAUUGGUUAUCUUUGCAAGUCUCUUCGAAAUAUCAGUUUGGUUUGGCCUAUUAGAUUGAUCUUUCUUGCAAUGGGAGAAGUGCUUAGCUUUGGGUUCAAUCUUGCGGUGUCCUUUCCCAGUGACAGUAGGGGCAGCAAGGCACGUAUUGUAUUGUUGCCAUCGAGGAUAACAAGAUGGGGUUUAUAUCAUAUUGCUGUUGGGGAACGUAGUAAUUUCAAAAAAAUUCCUACGCACACGCAAGAUCAUGGUGAUGCAUAGCAACGAGAGGGGAGAGUGUUGUCCACGUACCCUCGUAGACCGACAGCGGAAGCGUUAUCACAACGCGGUUGAUGUAGUCGUACGUCUUCACGAUCCGACCGAUCAAGUACCGAACGUACGGCACCUCCGAGUUCUACACACGUUCAGCUCGAUGACGUCCCUCGAACUCCGAUCCAGCCGAGUGUUGAGGGAGAGUUUCGUCAGCACGACGGCGUGGUGACGAUGGUGAUGUUCCACCGACGCAGGGCUUCGCCUAAGCUCCGCAACGGUAUUAUCGAGGUGUAAUAUGGUGGAAGGGGGCACCGCACACGGCUAAGAGAUCUCAAGGAUCAAUUGUUGUGUCUCUGGGGUGCCCCCUGCCCCCGUAUAUAAAGGAGCAAGGGAGGAGGAGGCCGGCCCUAGGAGGGGGCGCACCAAGUGUGGAGUCCUACUAAGACUCCCUAGUCCUAGUAGGAUUCCACCUCCCAUAUGGAAUAGGAAAAGAGGAAGGGAAAAAGAGAAGGAAGGAAGGGGGCGCCCCCCUUCCCUAGUCCAAUUCGGACCAGACCAAGGGGAGGGGUGCGGCCACCCUUGAGGCCCUUUUCCUUCUUUGCCGUAUGGCCCAAUAAGGCCUAAUACGUAUUCCCGUAACUCUCCGGUACUCCGAAAAAUACCCAAAUCACUCGGAACCUUUCCGAAGUCCGAAUAUAGUCGUCCAAUAUAUCGAUUUUUACGUCUCGACCAUUUCGAGACUCCUCGUCAUAUCCCCGAUCUCAUUCGGGACUCCGAACUCCUUCGGUACAUCAAAACUCAAUAAAACUGUCAUCGUAACGUUAAGCGUGCGGACCCUACGGGUUCGAGAACUAUGUAGACAUGACCGAGACACGUCUCCGGUCAAUAACCAAUAGCGGGACCUGGAUGCCCAUAUUGGCUCCCACAUAUUCUACGAAGAUCUUUAUCGGUCAGACCGCAUAACAACAUACGUUGUUCCCUUUGUCACCGGUAUGUUACUUGCCCGAGAUUUGAUCGUCGGUAUCUCGAUACCUAGUUCAAUCUCGUUACCGGCAAGUCUCUUUACUCGUUCUGUAACACAUCAUCCCGCAACUAACUCAUUAGUCACAAUGCUUGCAAGGCUUAUAGUGAUGUGCAUUACCGAGUGGGCCCAGAGAUACCUCUCCGACAAUUGGAGUGACAAAUCCUAAUCUCGAAAUACGCCAACCCAACAAGUACCUUUGGAGACACCUGUAGAGCACCUUUAUAAUCACCCAUUUACGUUGUGACGUUUGGUAGCACACAAAGUGUUCCUCCGGUAAACGGGAGUUGCAUAAUCUCAUAGUCAUAGGAACAUGUAUAAGUCAUGAAGAAAGCAAUAGCAACAUACUAAACGAUCGAGUGCUAAGCUAACGGAAUGGGUCAAGUCAAUCACGUCAUUCUCCUAAUGAGGUGAUCUCGUUAAUCAAAUGACAACUUAUGUCUAUGGCUAGGAAACAUAACCAUCUUUGAUUAACGAGCUAGUCAAGUAGAGGCAUACUAGUGACACUCUGUUUGUCUAUGUAUUCACACAUGUAUUAUGUUUCCGUUUAAUACAAUUCUAGCAUGAAUAAUAAACAUUUAUCAUGAUAUAAGGAAAUAUAUAAUACUUUAUUAUUGCCUCUAGGGCAUAUUUCCUUCAAUUGCAUGAGUUUAUCCCUCUACAUCAUGUCAUCUUGCUUAAAGCGUUACUCUGUUCUUAUGAACUUAAUACUCUAGAUGCAUGCUGGAUAGCGGUCGAUGUGUGGAGUAAUAGUAGUAGAUGCAGGCAGGAGUCGGUCUACUUGUCUCGGACGUGAUGCCUAUAUACAUGAUCAUACCUAGAUAUUCUCAUAACUAUGCUCAAUUCUGUCAAUUGCUCAAUAGUAAUUUGUUCACCCACCGUAAUACUUAUGCUCAUGAGAGAAGUCACUAGUGAAACCUAUGACCCCCGGGUCUAUUUUCCAUCAUAUUAAUCUUCCAACAACAAGCUAUUUCCAUUGCCUUUUAUUUUGCUUUUAUUUUACUUUGCAUCUUUAUCAUAAAAAUACCAAAAAAAUUAUCUUAUCAUAUCUAUCAGAUCUCACUCUCGUAAGUGACCGUGAAGGGAUUGACAACCCUUUUAUUGCGUUGGUUGCGAGGAUUUAUUUGUUUGUGUAGGUGCGAGGGACUUGUGCGUGGCCUCCUACUGGAUUGAUACCUUGGUUCUCAAAAACUGAGGGAAAUACUUACGCUACUUUGCUGCAUCACCCUUUCCUCUUCAAGUGAAAACCAAUGCAGUGCUCAAGAGGUAGCAAAAAGGAUUUCUGGCGCCGUUGCCGGGGAGUCUACGCAAAACUCAACAUACCAAGUACCCAUCACAAACCCUUAUCUCCCGCAUUACAUUAUUUGUCAUUUGCCUCUCGUUUUCCUCUCCCCCACUUCACCUUUGCCGUUUUAUUCGCCCUUCUUCCGUUCAUCCUUUUGUUUGCUCGUGUUGCCAUGUGCCUUCUAUAUGCUUGCAUCUUCGCUUGCUGAAAAUCUAUUGAUAUGGAUCCACUUAAAGUGUUCUACUUGGAUCAUCUUCGAUCCUUAUGCGCUCGUGCUGAAACCCCAACGAUCCAACAAAACCCAAAUAUCGGAGAAGAAAUACAAGGCUAUAAGAUAUCAUGCAUAUAAGAGAUCAAAGAAACUCAAAUAACUUUCAUGGAUAUAAAAAGAUAUAACUGAUCAUAAACUCAAAGUUCAUUAGAUCCCAACAAACACACCGCAGAAAGAGUUACAUCAUAUGGAUCUCCAAGAGACCAUUGUAUCAAGAAUUCAGCAAGAGAGAGGAAGCCAUCUAGCUACUAACUACGGACCCGAAGGUCUACAAAGAACUACUCACGCAUCAUCGGAGAGGCACCAAUGGAAGUGGUGAACCCCUCCGUGAUGGUGUCUAGAUUGGAUCUGGUGGUUCUGGACUCUGCGGCGGCUGGAUGAAUAUUUCGUCGACUCCCCUAGGGUUUCUGGAUUUUUGGGGUAUUUAUAGAGCAAAGAGGCGGUCCGGGGGGCACCCGAGGUGGGCACAACCCACCAGGGCGCGCCUGGGCCUCCUGGCGUGCCCUGGUGGGUUGUCCCCUCCUCGCGACUCCCCCCAGGUGCAACCAGGGCCCAACUUCUUCCUUUUGGUCUAUAAAAAAUCAUCGUAAAGUUCCAUGGCAUUUGGACUCCGUCUGAUAUUGAUUUCCCGCGAUGUAAAAAACAUGGAAAAAACAGCAACUGGCACUUGGCACUAUGUCCAUAGGUUAGUACCAAAAAAUGAUAUAAAGUGACUAUAAAACAUCCAAGAUUGAUAAUAAAACAGCAUGGAACAAUAAAAAAUUAUAGAUACGUUGGAGACGUAUCAAUACAUACGUGUCGUUUCCCCUUCUGUCACUGGGAUCAAGCACCGUAAGAUCGAACGCACUACAAAGCACCUCUUCCCAUUGCAAGAUAAAUAGAUCAAGUUGGCCAAACAAAACCCAAAUAUCGGAGAAGAAAUACGAGGCUAUAAGAGAUCAUGCAUAUAAGAGAUCAAAGAAACUCAAAUAACUUUCAUGGAUAUAAAAAGAUAUAACUGAUCAUAAACUCAAAGUUCAUCAGAUCCCAACAAACACACCGCAAAAAGAGUUACAUCAUAUGGAUCUCCAAGAGACCAUUGUAUUGAGAAUUCAGCGAGAGAGAGGAAGCCAUCUAGCUACUAACUACGGACUCGAAGGUCUACAAAGAACUACUCACGCAUCAUCGGAGAGGCACCAAUGGAGGUGGUGAACCUCAUCCGAGAUGGUGUCUAGAUUGGAUCUGGUGGUUCUGGACUCUGCGGUGGCUGGAUCAAUAUUUCGUCGACUCCCGUAGGGUUUUGGGAAUAUUGGGGUAUUUAUAGAGCAAAGAGGCGGUCCGGGGGGCACCCGAGGUGGGCACAACCCACCAGGGCACGUCUGGGCCUCCUGGCGCGCCCUGGUGGGUUGUUCCCUCCUCGGGACUCCCCCCAGGCACAGCCAGGGCCCAUUACGUUCUUUCUGGUCCAUAAAAAAUCUCCAUAAAGUUUCGUUGCAUUUGGACUCUGUCUGAUAUUGAUUUCCUGCGAUGUAAAAAACAUGCAGAAAACAACAACUGGCACUUGGCACUAUGUCAAUAGGUUAGUACCAAAAAAUGAUAUAAAAUGAUUAUAAACAUCCAAGAUUGAUAAUAAAACAGCAUGGAACAAUAAAAAAUUAUAGAUACGUUGGAGACGUAUCACUGGCUAAAACUGGCUGAUUGUUCAACUGUUUGAACCUGAAACUAACACUUCAACUGACUGAACCUGAAGCUAACACUGCAACUGUCUGAACUUGACCUGAACCAUAAUCUUCAGAGCUGUGGCGGUGCACCGAUGACUCGUGGCGAGUGGAGGUACCCCUUGAUGGUAGUAUCAAUAGUAAUUGAGUUUCUAAGCCAUGGCUUAGGUGCAGGUUGAGAAACAGAUUCUUUACGCACAAUGAACCUAAGCACCCAAUUGAACUUUGACGGAAAUAAGAGGUUUAUUUCUAAAACCCUAUCCCCUAACUUUGAUCUCUCCUGAAUUCUUCUGUUUUAUGCCAGUCAUCAUUAAAUCCACAUCAAAUGCAGCACAAAAACACAAGAAAAAACCAUCAAAGCCCAGGCUUUAAAUCUUCUACAACCUCUCUUCUUACUAAAUCCCUAAACCCUAACUUUGAUCUCUUCUAAAUCCUUCUCUUUUAUGCCAAUCAUCAUUAAACCCACAUCUUAGAUCCAACAGAAAAACACAUGAACAAAUCAUCAAAGCCCUGACUUUAUCUCUGCUAAAACCCUAUAGUCAGUAAAACUUCCUUCUUUUUCCAUCCUACCUUCUAAGGACCGGCACCAUAAACAAACCAUACUUUCCUUGCCUCCACCAAAAUAGAGCGGAGCCUAAUGUUGCAGACAGAGAUGAAGAACUCAUCUUCUUGUCCUCCAAAACAGGGCAAGAUGGAGAUAGAGAUGUAGCAGAUAGAUAUAGAGGAGAUGGAGUACAACUUACCUCUGCACGGCGGUCGCGCCGACUGCUGCUACAUCGAGUGCUUUGUAGCCUUGAUCUCCUCAAGUGCUCAAAAGGAUGAUAAAGGAAAAGAGGAAAAGAGCGGGAGGGGUAGGAGGUGGUUUGCAGAGCGACUGGUUAAAGAAGGAAAUGAGGGGCUUGUCCGACGCGGCUUGACCAGGUGGGCGCGGCGACCUCAUGCGGCUUGGCCGGGUUGGCACGGCGACCAGGUGUGACUCGACCGAGUGGGCGCAACUAUUAGGUGUGGCUCCACCAGUGGGCGUGAGUGCGUGACGGCCUGGUACGGUCUGGUGCGAUGCUGGAUCGGUUCAACCACGGGAAAAACUAGAUUGAAAACCAGCACAAAAUAGAAAAAACCCAGCGACGUGACAUGUGAAAUCAACACCAAUUUGAAAGAAAAUAAAUUUGGUUAGAGAUAACUGUGGUAUAAAGGUGAUAAAAUGAGGGUAUAAAUUACGGAUUUUCUCAAAUUGGGGUCAACACUCUCAAAAGGGUGAAUCAUGGGAUAAAAAAUGGAAUCACACCCUAAUCGUUAAACAAGUAAUACAGGAAAAGAAAUCUUGGGAUUCUAACUGUCCAAAACUUGAUUAAACCAAACAUACCCUAAUCGUCUACAUUUCAUAUGAAACAAACAAGCAAAACCUUAUGCUUGAACCUGCUUGUACUGCCGUGGCGCUACACAGUUCGGCAGGAUUGAUGGCGAUUCAGAGUCGUCAGAUUGGUGAAACAUUUACACAUGGACCCAGAAAAUGGCUCUAUGAGGGUUUUGAGUUUGGUACUACUCAAUUUGUCCACAUAAAGGAAAAAAACUUAAUUUGCCCACAUUCAUCAUAAAAAGGGGACUAACUAAUUAUCCAUUUUCAUUAUUAGCACUCGAGAGUACAGAUAGCGUCGGAAGAAAGCCGAGAAAGAAAAGAAUGUGCCGUACAUGUACCAUAAUAUACUUAAGGGCCAUCGCGAAAAAGGAAAUACUUGUAAGGAAACUUUUUUUUUGCGGGAACUUGUAAGGAAACUUCAUCACACACAUAACACGGAUCCGACGUCCAAGCACGCACAAGGGUUUCGUGGGGGAGAAUGACAUCGAAGGAUUUAUUUACGCACUCACGUAUGCUCUCCUCUGUUCAUCGUCUACAGCUGAUCUGAAAAACAACUCAACGAAUGUCCGAAGAAUACAAGUACGAGCACGAUGGUACUGUGGCUAAUAACCAAGUACUCUCUCCGUUCAAAAAUACUUGUCGUAGAAAUGGAUAAAAUGAAUGUAUCUAAAACUAAAAUACGUUUAGAUACAUUUAUUUCUCCAACAACAAGUAUUUUUGGAUGGAGGGAAUACUUAAUACAGAAUUACGGCCGUACUUUGAUCUCGUUGCUGUUGGCUGCCCGCGGUAGUCAGUGAAGAUUCCAGCGCUAGCUACGGAGGUCCUAGCCGGCGCGUGCCAGCCCAGAAUCACAUGCAGUGAUGCUCACCAGGCGCCAGGUCGCGUCCGUACGGGCCGGAGCCAGCACCCAUCCGUAUAUCCAGUUAUCCAUGCGUCGUGACUCACCGCACACGCGGCGGUCUCUUCUGAUUCUGAAAGUGACCGUUCGCCCUUGCGCAGGCGCGACGGAACAUGCUGUCUGUCUGACGGUGAAACGAGCAAACAUGCACGUAGCCCGCGGCCGGAGUCCCUCCCCCGUCUCCUCUGCCUGUGCCCGUGACUGCGCCGCGGCGCCAACGUCACCGUCUGAGCCGCCCCGCACCGCAUGGAAUUCCACGGCGGGAUGGGAGAACGGCAGCACGCUCGAGGCUACCGCGCUACGGCCUACAAACACUGUUGGUAUGGCCAUGUUUUUGCUUGUUUUUGAGACAUGUUUGGUUCAUGUACUAAGAGCAUCUUAGACGCGGAUUCUCAAAACGCCCGUGAACAUCCGUUUCAGACUUACUUUGUCAUCCAACGUGAAUUCCUAUUUGUCAUCCAACGAUGAAUUCCUAUUUGUUCAUGGAUGUAUUUGCCUCUCCAUUUCUUGCAAACCGGACAUAAACUAGGGGAGGUAUGCGGGCUUUCGGACCGUCGCCAUGUACGCGCCCUACACCCCGGCGUCAUCCAAAACACAUCUUUCGUGUGACCGCACCUCUGCUACCCGCGCCGCAUUCAUGUCGGUCCAGAGCAGACGCAACCAGUCACUGUAGCUGACACUGAAGCGGCGCGCCGGUAGAGAGCGCCGUCCGCGCCGCGCCCUGGUCUCGGCACCUGUUCAAUGCCGAAGGGACAUGACCAGACGGGGCGAUGGGACGACCAUCUACUGCAUUGAAGCCGGCUUCCCGCGUCCGCCUGCCGGCAUUAAACAAACGAGACGGCUGAGAAACCCACUCUGGCGCCCGCAUUGAAACAACGAGCCACUUGGCAUGGACGGCACCGCUAUUUAUAUGUGGCCGCACACGACAUGAUCUUCACCGCAACACGUUCGCUUCCGUUCCUCCUCCUUGCACCACUUCCGCUAUGACGGCGAGCUCUAGCGCCUUGUGGGAGAGUCUCUCAAUUGAGCAGAAGCAUAAGUUGACCGGUCUUGCGGACAACUGGCAGGCCCGUCAUGUGCAACGAAUAUAGAUCGGCUUGCCUGCGAGCUCACCGGAGGUGAGCGACGAUGACCCAAUGAUGAAGGAGACGUCCGGCGACGAGCUGGUGUUAGCGCCCGCACCGAUCCAUGCUGGCUUCACCAUGGACUAGGCGUAGACGCACUUUAAGACCAUCAUGGCGGAGGAGCAGUCGGCGCCGCCGGGUAUCGGCGUUCCGACUGGCGGAGGAGGACCAACGCUACAACCUCGCCCUCCUUGUGCAUCACUGGCUGAUGGAUGGGCAAAUAUAUGGCAAGUUCGCGAGCGAGGAGGCCAUGGCCGCGGAGGACCCAAACUUCAUCGACCACCAGCAACCGAUUUAGGAGGCCAAGCGUAGCACUCACACCGGCUGCAUUGCGAUUGUUGUGGAGGAGGAUGCGGAGGCGGCACAGGCGAUCCUGGACGAGAAUGUCUCCGUGUCAUUCUGGCCGCCCACGCAGUUCACUCUUGUCCCAUGUGGGCACGUCCGCCGGCGACCCGCAACUUCACUUCUCGCAGUUCAUAGCCGUUGAGCUCGCCAGGCAUGGGGAAGACAUGUCGUGGGACAUAGACCCCUCCACAGCCGACAAAGAUCUAGACCGAUCGAGAUAUUGGACAUAGAGUGUCACUCUUUAAAAAGGAAAAAAGACUAGGCUUUUGUAUGUUAAAAAAUGUCAUGUCCGCUUUUGUUUUAUGAAAUAUGUCAAAAAUGACAUGAAUUUGGUCUGAUUUGAAUGAAAAUCAUUUGGUUUGCAUGAAAUUCAUUUGAAAUGUGUCUGACCGUUCGAUGGAUAUCUUUGGAUGGUCGGCUCCCCUAUCACUGUCCAUGGACUCGUUCGCGGACGGAUACUAUGUCGUUUUUAGGGGAUAGCUUUGGAGAUGCCCUACCACAGUUGAGGCAAUCUAGCCACCCUCUUCCGAGUCAGUGACAUGAGGGGCAUAGAUUGCAUGAAAAUAAUGUUGCCAAAAGUGUGGGAGCAAACCAAACAUGAGGCUAACUCGGUCACUUGCCUAACUUGAGUUGUGGAAAGGUGAGGCAACCUUAGUAUAUCACCAAACAUGCCCUUCACCUUCACAUCCCUCCGAAUGUCUCGAUGAUCCCCUCGACUCGAAUUUGAUCUGAUUUAGACCCAAAACUUUUUCUAAAAAAUACUUCAUUUCAAAACUCUUUGUUUAGAACGUAAUAAGUAUAUUUAAAUUAUUGUGGCAUUGGAAUAUUUAUCUUUUAAUUAUCUAAGAAUUGUGUUAUUUAUCUUUGAUUAUUUUCAGUACUUUGAGCAUAGGAAAAACUAAGCAGGCGAACAUUUGAUGCCUACCGUUGGAUGGCCAACGCUCGCCUGCUGUUCAUGGAUUCGUCCAGACGUGUAUGUGGACUUUUGGUGCCGCCUGUUUGGUGAUACAUGUUGGAGUUCUACAGUGUUUUAACAACCCCUUUGUCAUUGGCCUUCUUGGUGAUUUGUGCGGUAUUGUCUAAAAACCCAGAACAUGUAGCUAGACCAAGCUUGCAUCCAGGCCGAAGCGUGAUGUCCCAGGCACCAACACAGAGAGCAUUAUUUUCAUUCUUAGUUUAACAUGAAUUUGGUCUAAUUAAUGUUGGAUGGAGUAUGACUGGAUGGUUUCUACAUUGAAUUACAUUAUUCAGUCAUUGCUUGAACUUCAAAUGUGCUCUGCAUUUAUAUUUUGUGGUUUCAUAAAUGACUAGGAAGAUACCAUUCUAUCAUAUUGUAUCAUAGUCAUUUUGACAAAGUGUUGAUGUUUGAGAUAUAGUUUUAUUACUCGCUAGUUGAUUAUGUUAUUGAUAUGAGUAAAUGUGGUUGCUAAGUGUUAUCAUAUAUAUGAUUACUCCAUGAUCUUUGUUGCAGUCUGAUCACUAGCUAAAUUUAUGUACAUCUACAAAAGCAAAUGAGAUUGUAUUUUUUUUCUCUUUACCACUUUCAGUUUGUCAACUGAAUUGCUCGACAAGCAAUGAGUUAAGCUUGGGGGAGUUGAUAUGUCUCCAACGUAUCUACUUUUUUAAACAUUUUUUUAUUGUUUUGCCCUCUAAUUUGCAUGAUUUGAGUGAAACUAACCCGGGUUGACGCUGUUCUCAACAGAACUAUCAUGGUGUUGUUUUUGUGCAGAAAUAUUUUUACAAGAUUUUUUGGAGCAUUAUUGUGGAAUAGAAAAAAUACUGGAGCACAGAAGUACCGGACAGGGGCUAACAGGCUACUCCACGGCCAGGUGUGUGCGACCACCCCCAAGGGCGCGCCACCUAUCCGUGUGGGGCCCCUGGCCACCGCCUGAUUCCGGCGCUAUAAAUUCACAUCUCAUCCGGAAAAAACCACUCAAAAGUUUCAUCACGUGUUAUGAUAUAGAGCCGCUGGCACCUCCUAAUCUUCAUCUGGAGCCCUAAUUUGGAGCCCGUUCCUGGCUUCGGAGAGAGGGAUUCUUCGGCGGUGUCAUCACCAACCCCUCUCCAUCAACAAUUUCAUAAUGCUCGCAUCGAUGUGCGAGUAAUUUUUGUAGGCAUAUGGAGGUUGACGAGAUUUGGAUGAGAUUUCUUAUGUAAUCAUUGUCAGAUUUGUUACGACUUGACCCCUAGUAUUCACUAUGUUCCGAUAUUGUUGUUGCUAUGACUUUACUAUGCUUAAUGCUUGUACUAUGAUUUUAGAUCUGAACUUAUUAUGGUUUCAUGAAUAUAUUUGUGUUCUUGAUCUUACCUGCAAGAUGUAUACACGUGUUAUUGUUCUGAACUCUAGACCCCAAAAUGACAAUAAUUGAGAUGCUCUACGGGGAUGACUUUGAUUUGAGGAUUACAUAUAUUCAUUAUGUGUUAAUACUUUGUUCCGGUUCUCUAUUAAAAAAAGCGCCUUAACUACCCUUAGUUUCCAUUAGUACCCGCUGCCAUGGGAGGUUAACAAUAUAUGUUACGCAAGUUCUGAUCGCAAGCAUGUAUGAUUAUAUAUAUAAUACAUGCCUACAUAUGAUUGAUGAAGUUGAGCUAGUUUGUAUCGCUUUAGUUAUGAUAGUUUCAUAUUGAAUCUCAUUUGAACACCACAUCGCUACUCCAUGCCUAUGCUUUUUUGCUAUUAUCUCUGUUAAAUUACUGUUGCUCUCCUUUGUUGCGAACUUGUUACUAUUUCUACUACUGCUACUGACUACCGCUAUCUAUGCUACUAAUAAAUUGCUGCAAAGAAGUUAUCUCUUUCGUUAUGGUUGAUUGACAACUCAAGCGCUAAAACUUAUAAAUAUUCUUUGUCUCCCUUGUGUCGAGUCAAUAAACCUGGGUAGAAUACUACCCUCGGAAACUAUUGCGAUAACCUAUACUUGUGGAUCAUCAGUUAGUUUACCCAUUACUCAGGAGCUUUAUCCAAUGGCCAAGAGCAUUCAUCGAGGUGUUACGUAUGGAGCUUCACUAUGCCAUUACUCCAAGCCUUACUAGUAUCUCCUUAUGACACAUUAAGCAUUGUCGUUACACCAUGUAAUGAGAAGAAAAAACUGGUAUUCAAUAUGUUGUUUAAUAGCAUUUUAUGACCAACAAAUGAACCCUAGUGCAUGGUGGACUCUAUAUAAGCCUGCCCGGGACACUGAGAUGGGGGUUGGCAACCAUUGGGAUCUUAUACUCAUAUGCAAGAACAACUCCCAGAGAGACAUGACUAGGUUUUUCUACCUCCACCGCGAGGGGCUUCAACCUGUAUAUGAUCUUAUGUCACCCCACGACACUUAAGCCCUAGCCUAUUAUCUUAUUAUUGUUUUCUGUAAAUAAACUGUGCGAGUUAGGUCCGGAUAAACGGAACUCUUAACGAUAACAUUAGCUUGUCAAAAUCACCUUUCAAUUAGCAGAUCUUCUGGUGAGUUCAAUACCCAAGGUCACCUAUGGGAAAAAAGGUAGAAACUAUCUACAUCUUCGGAUCAAAGAUAAUCACCUUCUUCCUUGUUAACAUCAAAACGAGGGAAAACCGGUGGAUGCGAAAGCCCCAGGUGGACACCUUAGUCAUCCUUUCUCCCAAGAGGUGGAUGGAUGCUGUACAGAAAUGACUCGUUGCUUUGUUGUCCGCCUCUUUGUUUUUCUCACGUCGUUCACUGAAAAAGUAAGUUCAAGUGUAGUUCAAAAUGAAUCGAGCGCCGAGUUCCUUAUUUUUUACCACACGUCAAAACCUUGCCCCCCUAUAUAUACGUCCACGGACAGUGCCUGGUCACCCGUCAUAUCUUAGACAUUGCAACCAUAGUCCUCAUUUUUUAUCCCCAUCACCAUACAACUACAUGCAACGCCUAUUUCAUCUACGUACAUAGACUAUCUACUCGUCUCCGGAUAUGUCAACGACCUCACUGUUGGAGUCGUCGGCAUCAUGGUCAUUGGCGAGGGGGCGAAGCUCCGGCUCGUCGAAGAGUUGUCACGCUUAAUGGAGUCGAGGAUAGCCUGCUACUCCAUCGCCUCAUCCGCUUGGGCAAGCUCAAACUUUCCUGGGACUAUGGUCUACUCCGACGCCGGAUCCGCCUCGCCUUCCUCCUCUUCUUCGUCUGACACCUCCAACUCUUCCAUCUCCUCAUGCUCCAUGCGUUGCCACCUCCUCCUCCGGAGAGUUCGGAGGUAGGCCGACCACGAUACGAGUGGCACGCUGUACACCAUGGCAGUUGGCUGACGGCAAGGUCUGGUCAGUUUGGUGCGUGAGGUCGCGAAGGCGACGAGGACAAUAGGGAGAGGGAGCAAAUGUGGGCAGCUAGGGGUGAGGCUCGUCGUCCGGCUUUAAAUAGCCAGUUUGGCCUCUUAGGCAGUGCGCCGGAGCCGCGAGAUGAAUGCAGGCAGUGAGCUCCCGUCAGUCUGAUGGGGUUCCGCGUGGGUCCCACCCAUCAAUCUAACAUGACGGAUGCUAUAUCCAUCCCACAUAUGAGCUGUGUAUAGGGGGUGCCGGGCAACCCGAACGUAUAGAGUUUGUUUAAGGGGUUCGGUUGGGUGGAAUUUUUUUGACCGGGCCGUUAUGACUAUAUAUGCGGAGUCCAAUUCUAAAUGCACUUACCUUGCUCAGGUACAAGAUGAGGCAUCCCGAAUGAUAAAGCACCGUCCCAGGGCAGGGGCGGAGAGCAUUCACUGAUAUUCAGGCGAAUACCAAAAUCUGAGCUAGAAAAUCCGGAGCAACUAAUCAAAGAGCACUCAUUCGGGAGCCUCCACAAGGGUUGCUUGGGGUGGACUAAGAGCGCGCCACUUGGCGCACUCUUAGUCGCCCCCACGUGGUGUGCUAUGGGCGCUUCCUCUGAUUUUUAUUUUAAUUUUUCUACAUAUGUUUUUGGCUUUUUAGAUGAUUUUUUUGGUUUCCCACCGGUGUUUCUUAGCUUUUGGACAAAAGAAAAAUUUCAAAAAAAAAAUGUUGCGCGAAAAAACGCGUUUCCUUAUUUUUUAUUCCGCAAGAGGCACAGAUUUGCUUCCGCGAGAGACAAAGGUUUGCUUCCGCGAGUGCCUCUCGGAAAUGGAAAAAGCACGUUCUCUUUUUGUCCUUCCACGAGAGGCACGUGCCUCUCGGAAGCGAAAAAAACAUUUUUUUUCACGAGAGGCAUUGUGGUGCCUCUUUCGGAAAGAAAAAAAAAUAUGUGCUACCGAUUCCGUUUUUUCAUCCGGUUUUUUUCGCAAAAAGAAGUUCGUCAAAACCUAUCAACAUAGGAUCUAGUUUUGAAGCUCUCAACGCGAGGAAUCCAAUGAUGAGAACGGUUUGAGAUUUGGAUCACACGGUUUAAGAUAUAAAAUGUUUUGAAUAAAUGGAUUUACGAAAGAAGGGAAAAUUGACCUUUGCAAAGAGUGCUUCUUAAUUUCGUAAAAAUCUAGUAUACGUAAAUGUAUUCAGUUUACCAUCUGCACAAGGCUAUAUUUGAGCCCACAGCCUGCUCUUCAGCCCAGUAGCCCACAGCCCACAGCACGCGAACGAAAUUUGAGUAUUCUGGUUGUCUUCAAUCCCGUAUCCAAAGUUCCAGUGGCAGCGCGCGCGGGAAACCCCCACCAAACCCACCGCACAAGCGCGCGCUCGCCAAAAUGCCGCCGCCGCCGCCGCCGCGGCAGGACUUCCCGGCGUUCCCUUUCGCGCCGUACCCGAUCCAGUCGGAGUUCAUGUCCUUCCUCUACAGCGCGCUCUCCUCCGGGCCCCGCGCCCUCGCCCUCCUCGAAAGCCCCACCGGUAAGCUCUGCUCUGCCGCCUUCCCCUCAUCCUCCGGCCUCGCGAGCCACCACUAACGAUUCAGCCUCCCCCGCGUCGCCGCAGGCACCGGAAAGACCCUCAGCAUCAUCUGCAGCGCGCUCCAGUGGCUCCUCGACCACCGCGACGCCGCCCCCGAGCGGGCCAAUGGCUCCGGCCCCGCUGCUGCCGGCGGCGAAGACGACGACGAGCCCGACUGGAUGCGGGAUUUCACACCGCUGCCGCCCAAGAAGGGCGUCAGGAAGAAGUCGGAGACUCACCCCCGGAGGAGGCAGGGGACGAGGAAGGUGGGGGGUUCGGAGAAAUCCGAGGGGACCGGGGAGAACGACGGCGAGGAGGAGUUCUUGCUUGACGAGUACGAGAGUGAUGGCGAGGAGGGCACAAGGCCGCAUGCUGCCGGGAAGCGGCCACAUUGUGGCGGUGGUGGUGGUAGCAGUAGUAGUGAGAGCGAGGACGAAGAGGAAGAAGAGGAGGCGACUCCCAAGGUGUAUUUCACUAGCCGCACGCAUUCGCAGCUCUCGCAGUUUGUCCGGGAGCUCAAGAGGACGGAUUUCUCCGGGAAGCUCAGGACAGUGUGCUUGGGGUCCAGAAAGAGCUUGUGUAUUAACAUGGGUGAGUGGAUCAUGUGGUUAUCUUUGUUCUUCUAAUUUUGGGGCUGGGAUUGUGUUUACUUGAUCUGUGGUGCGUUUGCUUGCAGAUGUUCAGAAGCUGGGGAGCGCAAACCGGAUCAACGAGAGGUGCUUGGAACUGCAAAAGAACAAGAAGAGCAGCAAAAUCAAGGCAUGGUUCAAUUACGUCAAUUUGAUUUGCAAUGCUCAGCUGUUCUGUUAGAUAGUAUUAUCUUGGACUUCUGCACCCAAAUUUGGCUCCUUCUUGCAUGUUUAGGGCCUGGCAUGCUCAUGAGGCAUGAUUAAUAUUGUUUCCCGGCUGUAAUUUCUUCCAAGAUUUCGAACUGAACUUUGGUUUUGUCAGUUUUCGGUGGAAAUAUAACUAGACAUGCACUGAGUUGUUUUUUCACAUACCUGCAUUCAGUUUGCCAGUGACCAUCUUUUGUCUUUUAUUUCCCACAUAGGCUGAUUGCACAGGAAAGCGUAUGGUUAUCACUUAUCAUACUUGUAUGUGCUGGGUUGUUAAAUACUACUACCUCUGUCUCAUAAUUAAUAUAAGACGUUUUUUGACACUAUCAUAGGUUGUUAAAUACCACACUUCAGUAAUGUUUUUUUACACUACGGAGUAGUAAAUACCAUUAGUAUGCUGUCAAUUGUUAACUUUUGUUGUUAAUAACUAGUAAUUUUUGCGGCUGUAAAUGUUCAGGUCGAGGGUGAUAACAAAAAAGGGCACCGAACAAAGACCUCCUGUGGGUGCCCAAUGUUAAGAAAUAGAAGUCUUCAGAAACAGUUCAGGAGUGAAGUGUCUGACCAUGGUGCAUUAGACAUUGAGGAUUUGGCACAAAUUGGAAGGAAGGUUGGAACAUGUCCGUACUACGGUGCACGUGACAUGGUCCGCUCAGCUGACCUUGUAGUACUUCCUUACCAGUCUUUGUUGCUGAAGUCUGCUAGAGAAUCACUUGGCCUUAAUCUGAAGAACAGUGUUGUCAUCAUAGAUGAGGCUCACAACUUAGCAGACUCCCUCACUAGCAUGUACAACUCAAAGGUCACAUCUUCUCAGGUUAGUCUUCCUCAUAAUUGACCUGCCCCUGGCAGUAUCAUGAGUCAUAACGAUGUUUUUGUUCUGAGUUCUAGAUCCCUAACAUCUGUUGGAAACUGGAUUGUGACGCAUCUCAUUCCGCACACUAUGCAGACUUAGUCUGACUGUACAGUUGUACUCUAUCUUCAUAAUUUUGUUCACUCUGCACUUUUGAUAAUGUUUUCCAAGAUCCGAACAUAGAGGUGCUGUAAGUAGGUUUACCAUAUAAGGAGACAUAACCAAAGAGUGGUUUCUGGUAUAGAGCUUGACUUUACUCAGUUGUGUUGUUCUGGCAGACAACAGGAUAGUAAAAAUGAUAUUUAUCGGUGCAUUUUUAAAAUUCCGCUUUACUAAGCAAAAUAUAGUUAGCAAAUGAACUGAGACUGUUUGCUUCCAGUUGUGGAAACUAACUUAAUUUUCUGAUUCUCAUUUUCGUUAGUUGAGGGCAGUUCUUUCCCAUCUGGAGGCAUAUCUCAAUAGAUUUCAGAAUGUUCUGGGAGCUGGAAAUCGACGUUACAUCCAGACCUUGACAGUUCUAACACGGUCGUUCCUACGAUGUUUGAUAAGUAAUGAAGAUUGUUCCUCCGCUGUGACCUCUUUGACUAUAAAUAAGUUCUUAUUCUCACUUGAUAUCGAUAACAUAAACAUAGUAAAACUUUGUCAGUAUCUGAAGGAAAGCAAUAUAAUCCACAAGGUGAAAUAUUUCUUCCACUACAUUUCCAUUCAGUCUUGUUGUGUCUAGAACCUAUAUGAAUUGACUGUUGGUAUCCAGGUUAGUGGAUAUGCCAACAAAUUAUUUUUCACCGAAAAUGGUGCGGGCGAUUUGAAUCAUGGGCAGCAACAUGGUGAAGGAAGCAGUAUAACAAGCUUUCAGGCUUUGGCUGACUUUUUACGCUCUCUACUGUACUGCAAUGAUGAUGGAAGAAUCAUAGUUGCACGGCACAAGCCUGGUGGACACUCUGAAGAUGCAUAUAUCAAAUUUGUGAUGCUUUGUGCAGAGAAAACAUUUUCUGAGGUGAUGUACCUUGCUCCAUAUGUUGCUUGGAGACAAGAGUUGUCCUAUUUCACAUGCGUAUUUAUAAAUCUUUCCUCUUGCAGGUUACAGAUGACGCACAUGCUGUUAUUAUGGCCGGUGGAACCCUCCAGCCUAUUGAAGAAACAAGGCUGCGCUUGUUUCCAGGCUUAUUGCCUAGUGAUAUAAAAUUCUUCUCGUGCAACCACAUUGUCCCCCCUGAGAGUAUUCUUCCUAUAGCUGUUACAUGUGGGCCCUCAGGCAAGAAAUUUGAUUUCAGCCACAGCUCAAGGAGCUCUCCUACCAUGGUAUGUAUACCUCGAGUCAUUUCUCCUUUACUCUCUAAUGUUUGCUGAGAAUGCCAUUUAUUAGUUUAUCCUGCAAUGGGCACUGCUUGUGCUUUCUGAUAUACCAAUGUGUCACAUACCGUUGCCGCUCGGCGAUUGCCGUAACAUGAGAAAAUAAGGAUUGCUUGUGGGGAGCAACCAGACCUGAAGGAGACGGGGACUGGGAGGAGAUGAACAGAGACAGAGGAGAAGUCUUCAGUUCUUCGUUUUCUUCCUGCCCCUACCGGUUGCCUUCCCGUGUGCCUUUAUCCUUCUUGCUCCAAGGCUUGAGUAGCUGGGUCAAUCCACGUACAGCAGCCCAAGCACAAGUGCGGUCCAGGGAGGACAUAGGAUGUUACAGAAUGCAUAAAUAUUUUUAACAAAAUAAUUAGGGCCUAAUGUUUAUUUUCGUACUCAUUGUGUCAUUUGCCUAUAGAAGUAAUCCAGGAUUGUACAAUGCGUUAAAGUAUAUGUGCAUCUUCUAAUCCAUGCUGUUAGAACUUGCUAAAUACAUAUGCUUAAUUGUCCUGGUUUAUUUGGUUGUAAUCUCUACUAUUUCAUUAUGAAAUGUAAAUGCUAGCCUUUUAAAUGACUGCAUGAAUUGCUGUGUGCAAACUCUUUACCAACAGCUAAUUUCUGUUCACUCUCUGUCAAAAAAACACACAGCUAAGUUCUGUUCUAUGAAAGAUACCAUCGUAACUCAUACUAGUUUAUAAUCUGCUCUUGUGUUAAUCAUCUUUUUGGUAAUAUUGCUCUACUCAAAUGCAUGCUAUUUUUGUGCCUAUUCUUAUCUGCCUACCUUUGCAGAUCGAAGAGCUUGGACGUUUUCUUUGCAAUAUAGUGACAAUAGUACCAGAGGGAAUAGUAAUGUUUUUCUCUUCCUAUGAUUAUGAAAAACAAGUUUAUGAUGCAUGGAUGGCUUCAGGCACAAUUUCUAAGAUUUCUAAGAAGAAGCACGUGUUCAGAGAGCCAAGAAGCAGUGUGGAUGUCGAGAUGAUACUCAACAAAUACAAGGAGGCAAUUCAAUCCUGCUGCAGCAAAGGUUCAGGAGACACGAGUGUCAACGGGGCACUUUUAAUGGCUGUUGUCGGUGGGAAGAUCUCUGAAGGCAUAAACUUCAGUGAUGGUAUGGGUCGUUGUGUUGUGAUGGUUGGAUUGCCUUAUCCAAGUCCAGAUGAUAUGGAACUGAUGGAGACAAUAAAACACAUUGGAAACUAUUCUUCUACCUCAUCUGUGGCUGGAGAUGACGAGUCCUUGAGCAGAGACGAUGAAUGCAAGGUUGAGCCUGGUUUUGGUAUACUAAGGAAGAGUGGUAAAAGUGGUCAAGAGUACUAUGAAAACUUAUGCAUGAAAGCUGUAAAUCAGUGUAUCGGUAAGCUGCUGUGCCAUCUUAACAUUUAUGAUUUUUUGGCUCUAGUUGUUAAAUGAUGAAGAAAUUUGCUUGCAGGCAGAGCAAUCAGGCAUGUAAAUGACUAUGCUGCAAUGCUGUUGGUUGACUCGCGUUACUCACACACCUCAUCAGGCAGGGGUUUCUCUUGCCCCGUUGAAAAGCUACCCCAGUGGAUCAAGACACGACUGACUUGCGGUCAAAACUAUGGGGAAGUUCAUAGAUUGUUGCUUCAGUUUUUCAAAAUCAACAAACAAAUACAUUGAAAUAUUACAGAUGUAAUAUUGCUACAUUUAAUGAAGCCAAGCAUGUACACAUAGGUUUGCGUAUACGUGAUGCAUUUUUGUUUGGCUGAUAUCAGUGCAAUGCGAUGACCAACCGUUCAAAGGUUGAGUUAGCACUUGAAAUCACAUGUUAUCGGUGGCUGAUAUCAGUUACCGAAGGUAUGUGCACCCCUGUUAUUUUCCACACCCAGAUCCGAGGAGCACCACACCCCAGUUCUUAUAUUCAACAAAUUAAAGGAAACUCGAUAAUCUGCUGCCUAGCACGGUCAUCGAUCUCAUUUAAUCAUAUAUUAGAAGCGUUUGGCGUGCUUUGCUGCUCAACCUGGGCCAUGUUUUUUUUCUCAAGGCUACAUGGCCUUCAUUUUCCCCAGAUUUUCUUGUUGCAGCGAGUUGUUGAAAUACUCAGAUUUGUUGGUAUUUUUCGGGAGGUGCUCUGCACCCUUUUCUUAGUUAUUUGUAUGGCAGGUAUGCAGAGCAAUCUUCAAAUCAUUCAAAAAAUAAGUUAUUCGUAUUUUUUUG
rnacentral:lncRNA from 1 species